UGGCUCAUUAUCACUCUGGGGAUGGUAGUAGUUUGCUUUUCAUGUUUACACUUCUCUUAUUCACCAUUUGACAUUUUAGAAUCAAUGAUAUUGCUGUUUUAUCUUUUGUUUAAAGUAUAUAAUGUCAGAGAUGUGAAAUUCACUUCCCAUAUUUUCCAUUUUGAAACGUAAUAAGUUUGAUUUGGUUCUAAUUGUAAAUAGGAUAAACAAGGUCAAGUUUGGGUUAAGAGUCG
rnacentral:misc_RNA from 1 species